GAUGAACGCUGGCGGCAUGCCUAACACAUGCAAGUCGAUCGGUAAGGCUCUUCGGAGUACACGAGAGGCGGACGGCUGAGUAACGCGUAGGAACACACCCUGCAGUGAGGGAUAAGACACCGAAAGGUGUUCUAAUACCGCAUACGGUCUUCGGAUUAAAGCAUUUAUGCGCUGAAGGAGUGGCCUGCGUCAUAUUAGAUAGUUGGUGAGGUAAUGGCUCACCAAGUCGAUGAUGUGUAGCUGGUCUGAGAGGAUGAUCAGCCAGACUGGAACUGAGACACGGUCCAGACUCCUACGGGAGGCAGCAGUGAGGAAUAUUUCACAAUGGGCGAAAGCUUGAUGGAGCAAUGCCGCGUGCAGGAUGAAGGCCCUCGGGUUGUAAACUGCUUUUAUAAGAGAAGAUUAUGACGGUAACUUAUGAAUAAGGGACGGCUAACUACGUG
rnacentral:rRNA from 1 species